rnacentral:rRNA from 1 species
AUUGAACGCUGGCGGCAGGCCUAACACAUGCAAGUCGAGCGAGCGGCGGACGGGUGAGUAAUGUCUGGGAAACUGACUGAUGGAGGGGGAUAACUACUGGCAACGGUAGCUAAUACCGCCUACCAUCAGCUGUGCCCAGAUGGGUUUGGCUAGUAGGUGGGGUAAUGGCUCACCUAGGCGACGAUCCCUAGCUGGUCUGAGAGGAUGACCGGCAACACUGGAACUGUGACACGGUCCAGACUCCUACGGGAGGCAGCAGUGGGGAAUAGUGCACAAUGGGCGCAAGCCUGAUGCAGCCAUGCCGCGUGUGUGAAGAAGGCCUUCGGGUUGUAAAGCACUUUCAGCGAGGAGGCGUUACUCGCAGAAGAAGCACCGGCUAACUCCGUGCCAGCCGCCGCGGUAAUAC